GACGAACGCUGGCGGCGUGCUUAACACAUGCAAGUCGAACGAUGAACCGGGUGCUUGCUCUCGGGGAUUAGUGGCGAACGGGUGAGUAACACGUGAGCAACCUGCCCCUGACUCUGGGUUAAGCGCUGGAAACGGCGUCUAAUACUGGAUAUGUCCCGUCACCGCAUGGUGUGCGGGUGGAAAGAUUUUUCGGUUGGGGAUGGGCUCGCGGCCUAUCAGCUUGUUGGUGAGGUAAUGGCUCACCAAGGCGUCGACGGGUAGCCGGCCUGAGGGGGUGACCGGCCACACUGGGACUGAGACACGGCCCAGACUCCUACGGGAGGCAGCAGUGGGGAAUAUUGCACAAUGGGCGGAAGCCUGAUGCAGCAACGCCGCGUGAGGGAUGACGGCCUUCGGGUUGUAAACCUCUUUUAGCAGGGAAGAAGCGAGAGUGACGGUACCUGCAGAAAAAGCACCGGCUAACUACGUGCCAGCCGCCGCCGUAA
rnacentral:rRNA from 1 species